UUGCAUUCAUUUCAUAGGCAAUACUAAUCUAUAUUGUGGAGCCUUGAACUAUGGUGCAUAAAUUAAAAGCUGUUCUACCAGCAGCGGCCAGACAACCGUAGAGAUGAAUCCACAGAUUAUCAGCUUUAUACGCUGCUCAUCUACUUAAUUCAUCUUACAAAC